CCACGACCAGGCAUUGAAUGCGGCGGCCGACCUGCGUAAGAUCGCGGGCAUGGUUGUAAUCCCGGCAAUCUGGAGGCGUUCUGGACAGGGGUUCGAUUCCCCUCACCUCCACCCAAGUGCAUUCGGGAGUGUGCUUGGGUGGGGGUGUACCGGUUUCGACAGGGCGGGCAAAGGUGAGCAGGCAACCC
rnacentral:tmRNA from 1 species